rnacentral:rRNA from 1 species
CCUACGUGGGGCAGCAGUGAGGAAUAUUGGUCAAUGGCCGUAAGGCUGAACCAGCCAAGUAGCGUGAGGGAAGACUGCCCUAUGGGUUGUAAACCUCUUUUAUGCGGGGAUAAAGGUGUCCUCGAGGGGCUGUUUGCAGGUACCGCUUGAAUAAGGCCAGGCUAAUUCCGUGCCAGCAGCCGCGGUAAUCCGGAAGGUCCGGGCGUGAUCCGGAUUUAUUGGGUUUAAGGGGAGCGUAGGCCGGUCUUUAAGCGUGCCGUGAAAUUUUGUGGCACAACCCUGAGUGUGCGGCGCGAACUGGAGACCUUGAGUGCGCGGAAGGCAGGCGGAAUUCGUGGUGUAGCGGUGAAAUGCUUAGAUAUCACGAAGAACCCCGAUUGCGAAGGCAGCCUGCCGCAGCGUUACUGACGCUGAAGCUCGAAAGCGCGGGUAUCGAACAGGAUUAGAUACCCCUGUAGUC